rnacentral:sRNA from 1 species
UAAUCUAAAUAAUUCAAUCCUAGGUUGACCCAGGAAUCUUUUUGGAGUCUAAUUUGUUUUUAUAAAAUGA